rnacentral:tRNA from 1 species
UGGAACAUAGUUCAGCGGCUAGAGCAUCUGGCUCAUAACCAGAGUGUCGGCGGUUCGAAUCCGUCUGUUCCAA